rnacentral:rRNA from 1 species
AGAGUUUGAUCCUGGCUCAGAAUCAACGCUGGCGGCGUGCCUAACACAUGCAAGUCGAACGAGAAAGUGGAGCAAUCCAUGAGUACAGUGGCGUACGGGUGAGUAACACAUGACUAACCUACCCUCGAGUGGGGAAUAACCUCGGGAAACCGGGGCUAAUACCGCAUAACAUCUACGGAUCAAAUGCGUAAGCAGCUUGAGGAGGGGGUCGCGGCCGAUUAGCUAGUUGGCGGGGUAAUGGCCCACCAAGGCAAUGAUCGGUAGCCGGCCUGAGAGGGCGCACGGCCACACUGGAACUGAAACACGGUCCAGACUCCUACGGGAGGCAGCAGUGGGGAAUUUUGCGCAAUGGGGGAAACCCCGACGCAGCAACGCCGCGUGGAGGAUGAAGCCCCUUGGGGUGUAAACUCCUUUCGAUCGGGACGAUUAUGACGGUACCGGAUGAAGAAGCACCGGCUAACUCUGUGCCAGCCGCCGCGGUAAUAC